GAAAAAUAAAUAGCCGCAGUACCCUGACUGUGCAAAGGUAGCAUAAUCAAUUGGCUUUUAAUUAGAGUCUGGUAUGAACGAAAAUAUGGGUGGUAACUGUCUUUAGCAUAUUAGUUGGAACUUUCUUAGCAAGUGCAAAUACUUGCCAGCUUCCAAAAGACGAGAAGACCCUAGAAACUUUAAUUAGUUUUUGUUGGGGCGACAGAAUUACAUUUAACUGAUUUUUAAAGACAUGACACUUAAUUGUAAGAAUAAGUUACUCUAGGGAUAACAGCAUAAUUUUAAUAGUUUGUGACCUCGAUGUUGGACUAGGUAUUGUACCCUUAAGGCAAGAGUAUAAGAUGCUCUGUUCGAGCAGUUUUACCUACGUGAUCUGAGUC
rnacentral:rRNA from 1 species